UUGGUGUGGUUGUUGCUGGCCCUUUCGGGGGCAUGUGCACACCCACCAUCCUCAUCUCUCCACCUGUGCACCUCUUGUAGACCUGAAUUGACUUUCCGAGGCAACUCGGUCGGGAAGAUUGCUGUGCUCUGUGAGCCAGCUUUCUUUGCAUGUCUAGGCCUAUGUUUUUCAUAUACCCCUAUAGAAUGUAACAGAAUGUAUCAUUGGGCCUUGUGCCUAUAAACCUUAUACAACUUUCAGCAACGGAUCUCUUGGCUCUCGCAUCGAUGAAGAACGCAGCGAAAUGCGAUAAGUAAUGUGAAUUGCAGAAUUCAGUGAAUCAUCGAAUCUUUGAACGCACCUUGCGCUCCUUGGUAUUCCGAGGAGCAUGCCUGUUUGAGUGUCAUUAAAUUCUCAACCUUAUUAACUUUUGUUGAUAAUGGAUUGGAUUGUGGGGGUUUCUUUUGCUGGAUUCUUCACAGAGAUCAGCUCCCCUUAAAUGCAUUAGCUGGUGCCCCGCGUGGACCAUCUAUUGGUGUGAUAAUUAUCUACGCCGUGGAUGUCUGCAAUCAUAUGGGUUUUGCACUGCUUCUAACCGUCUGUUCAUUCGGACAAUACAUGACAAUUUGACCUCAAAUCAGGUAGGACUACCCGCUGAACUUAAGCAUAUCAAUAAGCGGAGGAAAAGAAACUAACAAGGAUUCCCCUAGUAACUGCGAGUGAAGCGGGAAAAGCUCAAAUUUAAAAUCUGGCGGUCUCCGGCCGUCC
rnacentral:rRNA from 1 species